AGAGUUUGAUCAUGGCUCAGGACGAACGCUGGCGGCGUGCUUAACACAUGCAAGUCAUGGGGGUCCGCAAGGACAACCGGCGAACGGGUGCGUAACACGUGAGCGACCUGCCUGAGUGCGGGGGAUAGCCGGCCCAACGGCCGGGUAAUACCGCAUACGCUUGUUUGCGGGCAUCCUUGGACAAGGAAACCUCCGGGGCACUCAGAGGGGCUCGCGGCCUAUCAGCUAGUUGGCGGGGUAACGGCCCACCAAGGCGACGAUCAGUAUCCGGCCUGAGAGGGCGGACGGACACACUGGGACUGAGACACGGCCCAGACUCCUACGGGAGGCAGCAGUGGGGAAUUGUUCACAAUGGGCGCAAGCCUGAUGACGCAACGCCGCGUGGAGGAUGAAGGUCUUCGGAUUGUAAACUCCUGUUGCCCGGGACGAAAAGCUUCGACCUAAUACGUCGAANUCUGACGGUACCGGGUGAGGAAACCCCGGCUAACUCUGUGCUANCAGCCGCGGUAAUAC
rnacentral:rRNA from 1 species